rnacentral:rRNA from 1 species
AGCGAACCGGGAAGAGCUCAAAUUUGAAAUCUGGCGUCCCCAGGGCGUCCGAGUUGUAAUCUACAGAAGCGUUUUCCGCGCCGGACCGCGUCCAAGUCCCUUGGAACAGGGUAUCGAAGAGGGUGACAAUCCCGUACUUGACACGGCCCCCGGUGCUAUGUGAUACGUCUUCGACGAGUCGAGUUGUUUGGGAAUGCAGCUCAAAACGGGUGGUAAAUUCCAUCUAAGGCUAAAUAUUGGCGAGAGACCGAUAGCGAACAAGUACCGUGAGGGAAAGAUGAAAAGCACUUUGGAAAGAGAGUUAAACAGUACGUGAAAUUGUUGAAAGGGAAACGAUUGAAGUCAGUCGUGUCCGAGGGGUUCAGCCGGUCCUGCCGGUGCAUUCCUCUCGGACGGGUCAACAUCGGUUUUGACCGGCGGAGAAGGGCGUUAGGAAGGUGGCACCCUCGGGUGUGUUAUAGCCUCUCGUCGCACACGUCGGUCGAGACCGAGGAACGCAGCUUGCCCUCACGGGCCGGGGUUCUCCCACGUACGAGCUUAGG